AUGGACAUGGCCACCACGGCCACCACGGGCACCAUGGCCACCAUGGGCACCAUGGGCACCAUGGCCACCAUGGACAUGGUAGUGGCCUUCUUAGUGGACUUCUCAACCUCGGCCUUAGGCAGCAUGGAUUUGGUGGUCACCAUGGGGGAUAUAGUGGUGGCUAUAUGGGAUAUGGUGAUGGCUGUGGGGGAUAUGGUGAUGGAUAUUGGGGACAUGGGCACCAUGGGCACCAUGGACACCAUGGGCACCAUGGGCACCAUGGACACCAUGGACACCAUCAUCAUGGAUGUUAAGAAGCGUAGGUGCAGACACAGGGGAGGACACAGGCACCUGUCCUGCCACAAGAAGAGGAGGGAAUAUCAUGGGGCUCCAGCAGCUCCUGCAGCAGUGACUCUGACUAGAUGAAGAUUUCUGGAGGAACCUGCAAGGACAUAUUACUAUCUUAUCCUUUCCUGUCUCAUUUCUUUUAAUGUUUACUUAAAAAUAAUUUUAGCAGAUGUAAAAAUACAUAAAAUAUAAAGAAUAUGUAAAACAGAAUGCUCAUACACAUAUUUAUAAAAACUGGAUAUCUGGGUUUGUGGAGUAUCAUUUUGAGCCUUGAGCUUUCCUAUGUUUGUUUUUGAAUUAGAACAUGACAAGCGUGGCUCAACUCUACCUGAGAAACUGAGGAAACUGCAUUCUCACGGGGUAGCAAUCUGUCAGUCACAAGGCAGCUCUGCCUUAACGCAAAGCCUGCUUCAGUGUCUCUUUGCUCUGGAUCAUGAUUUUCAAAAAUAACAUUAUGUUGUAGAACUAAAAUCAUCUGGAAAUUGUUCACCGAGUUCAUAAAUCAGAAGCAAGUAUAUCAGUGAAAUUAUGCAAUUAAAUUCUUUUGCACCUCGCUGCCCCCUGCUGGUCAUCAAAGAGAAUGCACUUUUUUUGGUGUUGGAAAAAAGAUAUCCAGAUUCUACAGCCAUCUUUCUGUACACACACUUUGUGUAAACUUGUAAUCAGCUUCCACUAUAUGGUUAUCUUGUGUUGAAAAAAUAAAUAUGAAAACUGAUUAUUCUUCUCUGGUCUGUUCAGUUUUUUGUUUUUUUUUUGUCUGGUGUCCUUUUACAGAGCCAGGACUAUUUUGGACAUCUCCAUUUGGUACCAGUUAGCUGGCCUGCUAACUAAUGCCAAACAAAGAGAGCAUAUAACCCCAGUUUUAGCUUCUCUACACUGGCUUCCUGUUUCCUACAGGAUCUAAUUUAAACUUUUACUUUUUGUUUUUAAGUCACUUAACACCCAAGCCCCUUCUUACCUGUCUGAGGUCCAUGAGGUCUAGCUCAAAACUAAUGCUAUCCAUCCCACGGACUAAUCUCAAAUCUCGUGGCAAUAGAGCCUUCUCUGUGGCAGGUCCCAGACUUUGGAAUAGUCUUCCCCUAAAUAUUAGACUUGCACAAACUCUUGAUCAAUUUAAAUCACUACUAAAGACAUAUUUUUAUGCCCUGGCUUUUAACACACAGCUUUGUGCAGCAUCGUCUGUCUGGAAAUGUGCUAUAUAAAUAAAUUUGACCUUGACCUUGAUCAAAAGAAUGCCAGUUUAAGGCAUUUUUACAUCAGCAGACCAGCAAACUGUCUCUGUUUUGCAUAUAGUCUAUGCAACAAGAUCGGACAUUCCAAUAGUAACACAGCACAAACACAAAGACCAUGAUUUAUUAGUAGCUGCAUCAGACACAGAUCCUAUGAAAUCCAUCAUUGUGUUUGCUGGGAUUAAUUUAACAAAUGAUGGCAUGACAUCUUAUGGUAGGAGUUCAGGCUUGCCCCAUAUGAUGUAAGCUGGAUUUCAUAAUAGAGGUGUGGCUUUAUAAAAUGGCAGGGUCAGCUGAACGCUGUGUCUGUUGAUCUGCAGUGCAACACACAGUAAGUCCAUUCAUGGAUAUGUAGGAAUAAUUACCAUGAAAUAUGUGUUUAUAAAUGUGUGUAUUUGCAUCUGGUACUAUUUCUAGUUUUAUGGACAAAAGUCUGUUCACAGGUGUGAACUUUCCUUCUGAUGAGUAGUUUAUAGUAAUUAUACUGUGCUGUGGCUUUCUUAUAUAUUUAUUUUAUUUGUUCAUACAUUGUAUGAUUCUAUAUUUUAACCGGUUUAAAAACAUUUAACUAAACUUCUGUCUUUUUCACUGUGGAUUUUUCUUUUUAUCCGUCUUCUCUGAGUUAUCAUUACAAUUAAA
rnacentral:lncRNA from 1 species